rnacentral:rRNA from 1 species
GACAGAGGGUGCAAACGUUGUUCGGAUUUACUGGGCGUAAAGCGUGUGUAGGCGGCUUCGCAAGUUGGAUGUGAAAUCCCACGGCUCAACCGUGGACGUGCAUCCAAAACUGCGUCGCUAGAGUCUCGGAGAGGAAGGUGGAAUGCUUGGUGUAGAGGUGAAAUUCGUAGAUAUCAAGCAGAACACCUGCGGCGAAGGCGGCCUUCUGGACGAUGACUGAUGCUGAGACACGAAAGCGUGGGGAGCAAACAGG